AGAGAGAGAGAGAGAGAGAGAGAGAGAGAGAGAGAGAGAGAGCGAGGGAGAGAGCUUGGAGUGUUCGGGGGGAAGAGAGAGAGAGAGAGAGAGAGAUCAGAGAAAGGUUCGGAGUGGAGACGAGCUCUUCGGGAAGCUUCUCCCAUCGAAUUAGGGCUCUAUUCGGGAUUCCUUGGAGAUUUUGGCGUCGUUUUUUUGCUUAUCGAUUGUUCCUAUCUUCUUCUUGGAACAGUCCGAUAAAAGUCCUAUGGAUUCCGUUUAUAGAACUCCUCUUGAAGGAGUUAAGAUGCGAUUGGCUUUGUAUGUUGUUUUUCAAAAUGAUCCAACGGGGAUGGCACGAAAAAGACGAAGGGGAGGUGAUCUCCUCGGGAAGCUUCUUGAAUCGGUUCGUUUUGAUUUUCUCCUCUCGUCAUCAUCUACCUUCCUCGUCAAGUGUGAUAUUCUUUUGAAGAAGUUAAGAUGCGAUUGGCUUUGUAUGUUAUUUUCAAAUUGAUUCAACCGGGAUGAAAUGAAGAAGACGAAGAGCAGAAUUUCUACAGUAAACAAAUCCCUUAAAGGUGCUAAUUAUGUUAACAAAGAUUAUGGUUCAUCUUCUCCGGUCUGCAUCAAAGCAGGAAGACGUUUGGACGGUGGUGGACCUGGUGGUGGAGUUGUGCAGCCAGAGGGAGCAUCCUAAUCUUGAUAAUUAGUUUGAUUGCUUAAUCAUUCACUUCUUCUGGAUGCUUCUUACACUUGGCAUCCAAUGGGUGUUCUUUCCUCAGAUGGCGUGCAUCAAAGCCGGAAGAUGAUCUGCCGGUGCUGGCGAUGAAUUCCAAUCUAGAUAUUCAAUUGUAGUGGUUGUGGAGGUGUACACCCAGAGGAAGGACAAAGUUACUAUUGGCGAAGGUUAAAGAAAAUCAGGAAGUGAAUAUUUUGGUGAUUCUAUAACAUAAGUGGCCUUUGUUGUAUCUGCUUGCAGUGGAUGACUUUCAUUGAGGUUAGGGUUAACAAUAUCCGAAGUAUCUUCUAUGUUUUUUUUCUGUCUUUUUGUUCCUUUCAUUAAUGUGACCAAUAUUGGCCCUGAGAAUGACAGGGCAAGUACCUCAAAUUUUAAAAUUUCCUUGCACUAGGUAAAGGUAACAUCUUUUUCAGGCUCUUCUUUUGGUUUGUUCUUCUAUAUUCUACAUGCUCGCUGUUUCUUUCUUUUUCUUUUUUCUUUUUUUCUUUUACGGAGAAUGACUUUAGGUCAUGUUUCAAGGUGUCGAUAAGAUUGCGCUGAGAGUAUGGGGGUUCAGUCCUUUCUGGUCUAUUCUAAGUUCUUUCAGGAGGCUCUGUUUUGCUUUAGCUUGUAGUCCUUUUUAUUGUUACCUAAUUUUUAUGUUGUGCUUUCUUUGGUAGCAAUGUAGGUUCUUGUAUAUUCAGAAGAAAAGGUUUGGUUAAGCAUUUCCUCCAUCGAUAGCAAGGAUCAAUAGCUUCAUAACUGUCUGAUACCUUUAUAGUGUGCAGUGACUAUCCGAGUUCUUCUCUAGUUGGGGUGGCUUGAUAAGAUGGAGGCCAUUCUAGCACGCAUCAUUCACCUUCUUGUGGCUUGUUGAUCUAGAUGUCGUGCUUAACAACAACUUGGUAUCUGAGAUUAGUGGAGUAUAGUGCUUGGUGACAUUCUCAAAUCCAAGUGACGCACCACAAAAAGGCAAGAGCACAACAGAUAACAGUAAACAGGUGCAAAGGAAGAAUGUUAACCUUGAUAACUUAACAUCUGAAGUUGUUUCUGCAGAUAUGUUCUAUAUUUAUGCAAGAUUGCCAAAGAGAUAUUACCACGUCUCCACCUUUUGCUUGUUUUAUUUGAUUACAUUUUACAUUAAUUAUUUGAGAUAAAACUGUUGUGUCUAUUGUUAGAAUUGUCACUUUGACCUGAUACCCAGUCUUCAAACCAUACCCCAAACAAGCCCUGAUGUAGAGCCUGUAUGUGUGCCCGUGGUCUCUAUAAGGAAGAGUCUAAGAUAAGGCCCAUAUUUGAUGUUACUAGUUUAUCUUAUACCAUUUUUGUAAUAAAUAUCUGAACUUUAAUGAUUUUGGUUCCAUUACCUAACUUCAGAGAUUGUGGGAAAAAAAUUUAGCAGUAGACUUUAAUUUUUAAAGUUAAAGCACCUAGUUGGAAGUGUUGUAGGAUUAGAUAGCAAAAUCGGGACUUUUAUCAAUCAAACCUAUAUAAAAGUGUGUUGCAUUAAGCCUGUGUUCUUUUUUUACCUGAAUAUUCAAUAGGUCUGUAUUGGUGCUUUAUAAAUGUAUUUUUUUGUCAUUUAUCUUAA